GACGAACGCUGGCGGCGUGCCUAAUACAUGCAAGUCGAACGAGAGCGACCGGUGCUUGCACUGGUCAAUCUAGUGGCGAACGGGUGAGUAACACGUGGGUAACCUGCCCAUCAGAGGGGGAUAACAUCCGGAAACGGAUGCUAAAACCGCAUAGGUCUUCGAACCGCAUGGUUUGAAGAGGAAAAGAGGCGCAAGCUUCUGCUGAUGGAUGGACCCGCGGUGCAUUAGCUAGUUGGUGAGGUAACGGCUCACCAAGGCCGUGAUGCAUAGCCGACCUGAGAGGGUGAUCGGCCACAUUGGGACGGAGACACGGCCCAAACUCCUACGGGAGGCAGCAGUAGGGAAUCUUCCGCAAUGGACGCAAGUCUGACGGAGCAACGCCGCGUGAGUGAAGAAGGUGUUCGGAUCGUAAAACUCUGUUGUUAGAGAAGAACAAGUGCUAGAGUAACUGUUAGCGCCUUGACGGUAUCUAACCAGAAAGCCACGGCUAACUACGUG
rnacentral:rRNA from 1 species